UACAUUUUGGUGUAUGAUGCACAGAAAUUUUUGAUAUUUCUGGAAUAGUUUAACUCUAUAAAAUGUAG
rnacentral:tRNA from 1 species